rnacentral:rRNA from 1 species
UGAGUAUAAAGAACGACUCUCGGCAACGGAUAUCUCGGCUCUCGCAUCGAUGAAGAACGUAGCGAAAUGCGAUACUUGGUGUGAAUUGYAGAAUCCCGUGAACCAUCGAGUCUUUGAACGCAAGUUGCGCCCGAAGCCAUCAUGUCGAGGGCACGUCUGCCUGGGYGUCACAC